UUCAACAAUCAGCAAAUAGGCACCUUCGUUAAAUAGUAUUACCGAUUAAAGAAGACGGCAGUAUAUACUUAUCACGUGUCCUGAAACAACAAUAUUUUCAAAGCAUAACACCUAUACUAAUACUAUCCGUUCAUCUAAUCACGUUGCAGUAAACAGUAACGUUCAGCUCACUUCGAAAAACCCGAGUAGAACCCUACUGCAAUUUUAACAUGGUUCGCAACACUCGGCUCGGUUUUACAGUUGGAUUAAGUAAGUUUAUGAAGCACAACGAUCCGCAAUAUUAUAUUACAUUGAUAUCAGCAUCUUUAAUAUAGAUCGGACUGUGUUUAAAGCUAACUGCAUGGCCUAAAAUACUGUGUCCACAGACACACUUUGUGUCCCCUGAAUUACAAAUGUAUAUCAAGAAUUUUAUAACGUGUUUUUUGUUUUAAUUGUAGAAACAACAAACAUGUUGGAAUUUGAACAUAAAUGUAUUAUUAUUUUUUAUUUCAGUAUAAAUAUCAUAUAUUUUUAACCGCGAUCACGGUUAUAAAUAUUAUAUAUCCACGAACUUUUAGUUGUAUUUAUUUUGUGUGGCAUAAAUGCAAUUUAGCUCACAAGCUUUUUUUUUAAUAUUUUUUUCCAAACUAUAUAUUUUUACAUGCUUAAUUUGAUUGUACUUUCAAAAAAAGUCGCUCAAAUUUAAUUUGGAAGUUAUGAUCAAAAAAAUUAAAAAUGCUCGAUAUUUCUAAAAAUCGUGUUUUUGAGUUUAAAGUACUAAUUAAUAGUUUAAAAAUUUUAGGAAUGGUACCAAUUAUAUGUUUAACAUUUAGGUGAAACCAGAAUUCACCUAUCUUACUUACUUUUUAUGUUAUUAUUAAUAAACCACGUAAAACCUAAUUAUAAUAUACAAUCAAAAUUUACAAAUUAUACACAUUUCAAGAUUGCGGGAAAAAAUGUGUAGACAUUUUAAAACAAAUUGUAUUAAUUAUGUCCAGAUUUUUCAGACGCCAACGACAUGGCAGCAGCCCCUCUCUUAGACCUUCCCUCCAAUAAAGCCCCCAUCAUAAAUCUUAAUAUUUUAGUAAAAAAACACAAGAAUAUUCGAUCUAUAAUAUUUAGAUGCUUGGUAAUUUUAUUUAUAUUUAUAUUUUUGAUGAAAUCAAGUAUAAAUAGUUACAUUUUAGUUCAUAAAUUAUAAAAUAAAAUUAUCUCUGUACUUCACUUGCAAUAUGUUAGAUUUCUACAGUUCACUAUGAAACGCCAAUUUGCUACACGAGAAAUUAAUUAUUUUAAUCCGUUCAACAGUAUUAGUAAUAUUGCUGAGCAUAACCACAAUGACAGACGCUGUUUGCGAAUGGCUCAGGUGUCACUUUUACUUUGGAUAUUCUAUGCCUAUUGACUGGUGCAAAAUACUCGGACCAAAAUGGUGGCGAGAAAAUGGGCGUCCAUGCUUUAAUAGCCCAUAUUUAUAUCAAGAAAGUUGUUGCAAUGACUAAAUCAAUAACAUCGAUUGUUUUAUAUUUUUAUAUAUGUAUUAAAAUUGUGUAUGCAUUAUUUUAUCGUACAGAAAAACAUUAGGUAUAACAUUAUAUUUUAUAAUUAUCAUCGGUGGCUUUAUUAAAAAAAAAAAAAAUUGUUUCCUUAAUAAAAUAAUAUAUCUACUCGCUCG